GGGGAUGUAGAUCAAUUGGCAGAUCGCUCGCUUCGCAUGCGAGAGGUACCGGGAUCGAAGCCCGGCAUCUCCA
rnacentral:tRNA from 2 species